rnacentral:rRNA from 1 species
GGAAUCUUAGACAAUGGGCGCAAGCCUGAUCUAGCCAUGCCGCGUGAGCGAUGAAGGCCUUAGGGUUGUAAAGCUCUCUCACCGGGGAAGAUAAUGACGGUACCCGGAGAAGAAGCCCCGGCUAACUCCGUGCCAGCAGCCGCGGUAAUACGGAGGGGGUUAGCGUUGUUCGGAAUUACUGGGCGUAAAGCGCACGUAGGCGGAUUGGACAGUUGGGGGUGAAAUCCCGGGGCUCAACCCCGGAACUGCCUCCAAAACUACCAGUCUAGAGUUCGAGAGAGGUGAGUGGAAUUCCGAGUGUAGAGGUGAAAUUCGUAGAUAUUCGGAGGAACACCAGUGGCGAAGGCGGCUCACUGGCUCGAUACUGACGCUGAGGUGCGAAAGCGUGGGGAGCAAAC